GGCCUCGUAGAUCAGCUGCUAGAGCGUGCGCCUAGAAAGCGUAGGCNAGAGCGUGCGCCUAGAAAGCGUAGGCGGCGUCCAUGCGUGGGUUCGAAUCCCACCGAGGUUA
rnacentral:tRNA from 1 species